GGCCCCUUAGCUCAGUGGUUAGAGCAGGUGACUCAUAAUCGCUUGGUCGUUGGUUCAAACCCAACAGGGGCCACCA
rnacentral:tRNA from 1 species